AACGAACGCUGGCGGCAUGCCUAACACAUGCAAGUCGAACGAGACCUUCGGGUCUAGUGGCGCACGGGUGCGUAACGCGUGGGAACCUGCCCUUAGGCUCGGAAUAACUCCCCGAAAGGGGUGCUAAUACCGGAUAAUGUCUUCGGACCAAAGAUUUAUCGCCUUUGGAUGGGCCCGCGUUGGAUUAGCUAGUUGGUAGGGUAAAAGCCUACCAAGGGGACGAUCCAUAGCUGGUCUGAGAGGAUGAUCAGCCACACUGGGACUGAGACACGGCCCAGACUGCUACAGGAGGGAGGAGUGGGGAAUAUUGGACGAUGGGCGAAAGCCUGAUCCAGCAAUGCCGCGUGAGUGAUGAAGGCCUUAGGGUUGUAAAGCACUUUUACCCGGGAUGAUAAUGACGGUACCGGGAGAAUAAGCUCCGGCUAACUACGUG
rnacentral:rRNA from 1 species